rnacentral:rRNA from 1 species
GUCUACGGCUAUACCACCCUGAAUGCGCCCGAUCUCGUCUGAUCUCAGAAGCUAAGCAGGGUUGGGCCUGGUUAGUACGUGGAUGGGAGAAAAAUCUUACUCAUAGCCC